UACGUAGGGGGGCUAGCGUUGUCCGGAAUCAUUGGGCGUAAAGCGCGUGUAGGCGGUCCGGUAAGUCCGCUGUGAAAGUCGGGGGCUCAACCCUCGGAUGCCGGUGGAUACUGUCGGGCUUGAGUACGGAAGAGGCGAGUGGAAUUCCUGGUGUAGCGGUGAAAUGCGCAGAUAUCUGGAGGAACACCGGUGGCGAAGGCGGCAUCCUGGACCGAUAUUGACGCUGAUGCGCGAAAGCCAGGGGAGCAAACGGG
rnacentral:rRNA from 1 species